CUGUGCAGUGUGUUUUGUUCAUUCAAAACGCAUGCGCCGGCUUCCUGUCCAUCCACACUUUGUGAACCGUUUACUGUCUCUGGCAGGUACGGCGCUGUAAACCUCAGCCUUGUGCCAGGGGGGAGUUGAAUCCUAAUUCAUGUAUUGCAUUAGGAGGACGCUCUUGUGCCACGCCUGCCGAAUUGUUUAACUCUUGUGCUGAACCAAAUGGACUGAACACAAACAAAAAUCUAAAUAAGAAACAACUUUUGACAACGGAUCUCUUGGCUCUCGCAACGAUGAAGAACGCAGCGAAAUGCGAUACGUAAUGUGAAUUGCAGAAUUCCGUGAAUCAUCGAAUCUUUGAACGCAUAUUGCGACCUUCUGGUAUUCCAGGAGGUAUGCCUGUUUGAGAAUCGUGACUCCCCUCACAACCCCCUGGCUUUGCCGCUUGGGGUGCGUGGACUUGAGUUUUCCCACGGUCCUGGCACUUCUUAUGAAGUGACGAGACGGCAUGGGUGACUUGAAAUAGAGGUAGGCCUUGAAUUCAACAACUUGUUUGGUGAACAGGCGUGAUAAAACGUGUUUCCCCUUUGCUGGGGACGCAAGUAUAUCCUCCGCUGCAAGUAACCACAGGUGCUUUAUGUUUGAUUCAAUGUGCCCGCAAACGCAGGAAAUGAAAGCGCGUGUGUCCGUUACACCGACAUAAGCACUUUUGUGUACUGAAUCUCAAAUCAGGCAAGACUACCCGCUGAACUUAAGCAUAUC
rnacentral:rRNA from 1 species